UGAAGGGCAUAGAUUUUUUCAUUCUAUCAACCCACAAAGAGUAUAGCCAGCAUACUGAAAUGCACAUUGGUUGAAGGUUAAGGACUUCUACAACUAUCUCUGCUCAGCUGAAAGCGGAUAAUGAACAAGAACAUCAAUUUGUGCAAUAAGCUUUUGACUAGGAGAUAAAGUCUUGGAAUCAGCUUUGUGGGGGCAGAACGAAAAAGAUGGAUUUGAUGUCGUGAAAUGGCAAUUCUAAAACUCAGGAGAUAUGUUGGUGUUUCUGAGCUCUUACUCCAGUGUCCACUUGUCCAUAGAAUCACCUUUCACUUCUGGGGUCAGAGGACAGCUCCUGGAAUGAUCUCUCAUCUUACGGCAAAAAGACAGAGUCUCGCGCUAUUGCCCAGGCUGGAGUGCAGUGGUGUGAUCUCGGUUCAAUGCAACCUCCGCCUCCCGGGUUCAAGCAAUUCUCCUGCCUUAGCCGCCUGAGCAGCUGGGACUACGGAUGCUUGUCACCACACCCAGCUAAUUUUUCUAUUUUUAGUAGAGACGGGGUUUCACCCUGUUGGCCAGGAUGGUCUUGAACUCCUGACCUCGUGAUCCACCCACCUCAGCCUUCCAAAAUGCUGGGAUUAGAGGCAUGAGCCACCGCACCCGGCCUCUGUAAUCUAUUUUUAACACAGAAGCAGAGUGAUGAUUUCGAAUGUAAGUGAUAUCAUGCCACUCUUCUGCCCAAAAUGACAACCAAAUCCUAACAAUCAAUUUACGAAGACUUCAAUGAUCUCACAGCAUCCUCUGUUCAACUUUGUCUCAUGUCCUGGUAUUUUAUCCUUUCUUCUACCCUGCAACCAUACUUACCCUUUGGCUAGUUCUUGAGGAUACUAAGAACUCACUCUUCCAGGGAUUUAGCUCUGUGGUGCCCUCUGUCUUAAACACUCUUGGCUCAGAUACCAACGUGACAUAUCUCUCACUCUUUCAAGGAUUUAUUUAAAUAUCACUUUAUGGGUGAGAAUUCCUUUGCCUGCUCUAAUUACAGUUGCAAGAACAUGUACCAUCAGCCUGGUUGUUCCUAUUCUCCUUCUCUGAAUUUUUAAAAAAUCUACAACAUUCUAUAUUUUUCUUCCUUAUUUUACUGUUUUCUAACUUUUCCAAAUAAACCAUGAGAAGACAAGAAUUUUGCUUAUAGCUGUGUCCUCAGCAGACAGAAUUUUGCCUGACAUGGCAGGAGGCAUUCAAUAAAUAUCUGUUUAAUAGAAAUUUCAGAUCUGAGAUAAUUGCAUGAGCUAUAAAUUGUUUCAAAAAUUACAUAUAGAUGUAUCAGUUUUUUUCCCAAAUUGGCCAUGUCAAACACUUUAUCAGCGUGAUUUGUUUUUACUGGUAGUGAUGUUAAGAGAGAUUCCAUUUGACCUAUUUAUUUUGGAAGUGAUUCGACUAUGAGUCCACUGUCUAAAGAGGUUCUAAUCAAGUUAAUUAUUUUUUUUAUCAGAAAUCUUCCGAAGUUUUCCUGGUUUGUGGUGUUAUUCCUGUAUAAUAAACCUGGGAUGGCAAAAAAAUGAUAUAAAUAAGCAAAGCUGGCUUGCUUCUACCCUUGUUUCUACAUAUUUCUACAUGUUCUACCCUCAUUCUUACUUUCCUGUGAAUGAGAAGGAGCUUUAUCAGUGCUGAAGAGAAAAUUGAGAAAUCAAAACAUGUCCUUAGGUUACCUCCCUGAGAGUUGAAGCUUUUAGUAGGAAGAGUAAAGAAAUGUAAAUAUAAGAGGAUUUUAACAAUGGUUCUUCACAUUCCUUUCACUUUACCUCUCAAGUAUGUGGUGAGAGCCUUUUUUUUUUUUUUUUUUUUUUGAGACGGAGUCUCGCUCUUUGCCCAGGCUGGAGUGCGGCGACGCUAUCUCGGCUCACUGCAAGCUCUGCCUCCUGGGUUCACGCCAUUUUCCUGCCUCAGCCUCCCGAGUAG
rnacentral:lncRNA from 1 species